GAUGAACGCUGACAGAAUGCUUAACACAUGCAAGUCCACUUGAAUUUGGGUUUUUAACUUAGGUUUGGGUGGCGGACGGGUGAGUAACGCGUAAAGAACUUGCCUCACAGCUAGGGACAACAUUUGGAAACGAAUGCUAAUACCUAAUAUUAUGAUAAUAGGGCAUCCUAUAAUUAUGAAAGCUAUAAGCGCUGUGAGAGAGCUUUGCGUCCCAUUAGCUAGUUGGAGAGGUAACGGCUCACCAAGGCGAUGAUGGGUAGCCGGCCUGAGAGGGUGAUCGGCCACAAGGGGACUGAGACACGGCCCUUACGCCUACGGGAGGCAGCAGUGGGGAAUAUUGGACAAUGGACCGAGAGUCUGAUCCAGCAAUUCUGUGUGCACGAUGAAGUUUUUCGGAAUGUAAAGUGCUUUCAGUUGGGAAGAAACAAAUGACGGUACCAACAGAAGAAGAGACGGCUAAAUACGUG
rnacentral:rRNA from 1 species